UAGUAACGGCGAGUGAAGCGGCAACAGCUCAAAUUUGAAAUCUGGCUCUCGGGCCCGAGUUGUAAUUUGUAGAGGAUACUUUUGAUGCGGUGCCUUCCGAGUUCCCUGGAACGGGACGCCAUAGAGGGUGAGAGCCCCGUCUGGUUGGAUGCCAAAUCUCUGUAAAGUUCCUUCGACGAGUCGAGUAGUUUGGGAAUGCUGCUCUAAAUGGGAGGUAUAUGUCUUCUAAAGCUAAAUACCGGCCAGAGACCGAUAGCGCACAAGUAGAGUGAUCGAAAGAUGAAAAGCACUUUGAAAAGAGAGUUAAAAAGUACGUGAAAUUGUUGAAAGGGAAGCGUUUAUGACCAGACUUGGGCUUGGUUAAUCAUCUGGGGUUCUCCCCAGUGCACUUUUCCAGUCCAGGCCAGCAUCAGUUUUCCCCGGGGGAUAAAGACUUCGGGAAUGUGGCUCUCUUCGGGGAGUGUUAUAGCCCGUUGUGUAAUACCCUGGGGGGGACUGAGGUUCGCGCAUCUGCAAGGAUGCUGGCGUAAUGGUCAUCAACGACCCGUCUUGAAACACGGACCAAGGAGUCGUCUUCGUAUGCGAGUGUUCGGGUGUCAAACCCCUACGCGUAAUGAAAGUGAACGCAGGUGAGAGCUUCGGCGCAUCAUCGACCGAUCCUGAUGUUCUCGGAUGGAUUUGAGUAAGAGCAUACGGGGCCGGACCCGAAAGAAGGUGAACUAUGCCUGUAUAGGGUGAAGCCAGAGGAAACUCUGGUGGAGGCUCGCAGCGGUUCUGACGUGCAAAUCGAUCGUCAAAUAUGGGCAUGGGGGCGAAAGACUAAUCGAACCUUCUAGUAGCUGGUUUCCGCCGAAGUUUCCCUCAGGAUAGCAGUGUUGAACUCAGUUUUAUGAGGUAAAGCGAAUGAUUAGGGACUCGGGGGCGCUAUUUAGCCUUCAUCCAUUCUCAAACUUUAAAUAUGUAAGAAGCUCUUGUUGCUUAAUUGAACGUGAGCAUUCGAAUGUAUCAACACUAGUGGGCCAUUUUUGGUAAGCAGAACUGGCGAUGCGGGAUGAACCGAACGCGAGGUUAAGGUGCCAGAGUAGACGCUCAUCAGACACCACAAAAGGUGUUAGUACAUCUUGACAGCAGGACGGUGGCCAUGGAAGUCGGAAUCCGCUAAGGACUGU
rnacentral:rRNA from 1 species